GAUGAACGCUGGCGGCGUGCUUAACACAUGCAAGUCGAACGGGAAACCUUUUAUUGCUUCUUCUGCAGAUUUAGCUGUUUUCUAGUGGCGGACGGGUGAGUAACGCGUGCGUAACCUUCCUUAUACAGGUGGAUAACAUUCAGAAAUGGCUGCUAAUACCCUAUAAGCGCACAGAGCUGCAUGUCUCAGCGUGAAAAACUCCGUUGGUAUAAGAUGGACCCGCGUUGGAUUAGCUGGUUGGUGGGGUAACGGCCCACCAAGGCGACGAUCCAUAGCCGGCCAGAGAGAGUGAGCGGCGACAUUGGGGGGGGGACACGGUCGAGAAUACUAGGGGAGGGAGGAGUGGGGGAUAUAGCACAAUGGGGGAAGUGAUGAUGGAGCGACGCCGCGUGAAGGAAGAAGUAGCUCGGUAAGUAAAGUUCUAUAAGCAGGGAAGAUAAUGACGGUACCUAACGAAGAAGCCCCGGCUAACUACGUG
rnacentral:rRNA from 1 species